ACGGUGGGGCGCGGCUACCAUGCGCGUCGAGCGGAACGAGUUGUCUGAACCUUCGGGGAACGAUAACGGCGUCGAGCGGCGGACGGGUGAGUAAUGCCUGGGAAAUUGCCCUGAUGUGGGGGAUAACCAUUGGAAACGAUGGCUAAUACCGCAUAAUAGCUUCGGCUCAAAGAGGGGGACCUUCGGGCCUCUCGCGUCAGGAUAUGCCCAGGUGGGAUUAGCUAGUUGGUGAGGUAAUGGCUCACCAAGGCGACGAUCCCUAGCUGGUCUGAGAGGAUGAUCAGCCACACUGGAACUGAGACACGGUCCACACUACUACGGGAGGCAGCAGUGGGGAAUAUUGCACAAUGGGCGCAAGCCUGAUGCAGCCAUGCCGCGUGUAUGAAGAAGGCCUUCGGGUUGUAAAGUACUUUCAGCAGUGAGGAAGGUGGAUGUGUUAAUAGCACUUUCAUUUGACGUUAGCUGCAGAAGAAGCACCGGCUAACUCCGUGCCAGCAGCCGCGGUAAUACGGAGGGUGCGAGCGUUAAUCGGAAUUACUGGGCGUAAAGCGCAUGCAGGUGGUUUGUUAAGUCAGAUGUGAAAGCCCGGGGCUCAACCUCGGAAUUGCAUUUGAAACUGGCAGACUAGAGUACUGUAGAGGGGGGUAGAAUUUCAGGUGUAGCGGUGAAAUGCGUAGAGAUCUGAAGGAAUACCGGUGGCGAAGGCGGCCCCCUGGACAGAUACUGACACUCAGAUGCGAAAGCGUGGGGAGCAAACAGGAUUAGAUACCCUGGUAGUCCACGCCGUAAACGAUGUCUACUUGGAGGUUGUGGCCCUUGAGCCGUGGCUUUCGGAGCUAACGCGUUAAGUAGACCGCCCUGGGGAGUACGGUCGCAAGAUUAAAACUCAAAUGAAUUGACGGGGGCCCGCACA
rnacentral:rRNA from 1 species